rnacentral:rRNA from 1 species
CGGCGGACGGGUGAGUAACGCGUGGGUAACCUGCCUCAUACAGGGGAGUAACAGUUAGAAAUGACUGCUAAUACCGCAUAAGACCACAGCACCGCAUGGUGCGGGGGUAAAAACUCCGGUGGUAUGAGAUGGACCCGCGUCUGACUAGCUGGUUGGUAAGGUAACGGCUUACCAAGGCGACGAUCAGUAGCCGACCUGAGAGGGUGACCGGCCACAUUGGGACUGAGACACGGCCCAA